CUACCUGACACAUCAAAGUAAAAUGUACUUGGGUAAUACGAGUAAAACCUGGCAACCUAUAGCGCGUACUCAGGGGGUGACGUCAGAGGAGAUUUCGCGCUCCUUUCUUCAACGAGACGACGGAACAGCAGAACCUGAACAAGGCCGGCAGCGUUUCACCUGAGGAGAGGAACUUCAUGGACGGGAGCCAUUGGGAAUAUUAAAGGACGUUCACUCUCAGCAAGUUGACAUCAACAGUUGACACAAGAUCAAUGAGGAGUUCAGAAGAAUAACCACAGUUCAUCUGGAGCGAAACUUUUUGUCGAAAUUGGCCAAUUGCACGACCAACUUUCUGGAGAUACUUGGGACAAAGGGCGGAGUUGCAGGAACAAAGACCCAUGCUGGAAUCACCCAGCCUGGUAAAGUUUAGAUAUCUAAUAUUAUAUAAAAUUAUGUUGGGCUCAUAUACACUGAGAAUAGAUGCAUAAUGACGCAUUUGAACACAUUCAAUAUUUUUGUUUGUUUCUCCCACUAUCGUCAUUUUUUUGAGAACACAUCAGACUCGAAGAUGUAAAAGUGAACAUUAGUAAAUUUGAAUUUCAAAGAAGUCAUUGAAGAGGACUAUGCUCAACAUGUCAUGAAGAUCCUUGUCAUCCAUGGAAAUGCAACACAGAAAGGCUUCACUCCUGACGAUGUGUUCGUCGUCAUCGAGGGAAAAGAGGUUCUUGAUGACUGUCAAAGUGUGGCAAAGGCUUGCCUUCUGCUCAUGGGCUUCAUCUGUGUAUCUAAGUGUUGUCAAGCAAUACCCAUCGUUUCAAAUUAAGUGUUUGUUAAAUGACUAAACGUUUGUGUUCUUAAAUUUCUUAUUGGCAGCACUGAUUUAGAAAUGUUUUGUCUG